rnacentral:rRNA from 1 species
AGAGUUUGAUCAUGGCUCAGAUUGNUCGCUGGCGGCAUGCCUUACACAUGCAAGUCGAACGGCAGCACGGGAGCAAUCCUGGUGGCGAGUGGCGAACGGGUGAGUAAUACAUCGGAACGUGCCCUGUAGUGGGGGAUAACUAGUCGAAAGACUAGCUAAUACCGCAUACGACCUGAGGGUGAAAGUGGGGGACCGCAAGGCCUCAUGCUAUAGGAGCGGCCGAUGUCUGAUUAGCUAGUUGGUGGGGUAAAGGCCUACCAAGGCGACGAUCAGUAGCUGGUCUGAGAGGACGAUCAGCCACACUGGGACUGAGACACGGCCCAGACUCCUACGGGGGGCAGCAGUGGGGAAUUUUGGACAAUGGGGGCAGCCCUGAUCCAGCAAUGCCGCGUGUGUGAAGAAGGCCUUCGGGUUGUAAAGCACUUUUGUCCGGGAAGAAAUCGCACCUGAUAAUACCGGGUGUGGAUGACGGUACCGGAAGAAUAAGGACCGGCUAACUACGUGCCAGCAGCCGCGGUAAUACGUAGGGUCCAAGCGUUAAUCGGAAUUACUGGGCGUAAAGCGUGCGCAGGCGGUUGUGCAAGACCGAUGUGAAAUCCCCGGGCUUAACCUGGGAAUUGCAUUGGUGACUGCACGGCUAGAGUGUGUCAGAGGGGGGUAGAAUUCCACGUGUAGCAGUGAAAUGCGUAGAGAUGUGGAGGAAUACCGAUGGCGAAGGCAGCCCCCUGGGAUAACACUGACGCUCAUGCACGAAAGCGUGGGGAGCAAACAGGAUUAGAUACCCUGGUAGUCCACGCCCUAAACGAUGUCAACUAGUUGUUGGGGAUUCAUUUCCUUAGUAACGUAGCUNACGCGUGAAGUUGACCGCCUGGGGAGUACNGUCGCANGAUUAAAACUCAAAGGANUUGACGGA